GCGGGUGUAACUCAGUUGGUAGAGUUCUUGCCUUCCAAGCAAGAUGUCGCGAGUUCGAGUCUCGUCGCCCGCUCCA
rnacentral:tRNA from 1 species